CAGGUCUUAUAAUAAAUGCCUUAUAUAAAAUUGGGAAAAUCAGCUGAGAUUCAUUCAACUGCUUCUUCAGGGUGUCCUUUGGAAGUUAGAUUAUAGAUGAUGAAGAUGAUAGACUUUUAAACAAAGAUCCAUCUGAAACAUUAACAGAGGACAUUAACAGAGGACCAUUAACAUUACUGGUCCCAGACUACAUACAGUGCAUGUAAAAGGGGCUUAAUGGAUAGCUGUUCCUUCUAACAGCAAUAUCAAGAAGCAAUGACAAGAAUUGUUGGUGUUACAAGUUUCGCAGAGCAAGUGGGAAGAAGAAAUAAAUUUAAAAUUGUUAGAGGAAGACAACAGUGAUUAAUCUUUGUAAAAUAUUGGAAAGAUGUAGUAGC